rnacentral:rRNA from 1 species
GCAAAUCCGGGGUACUCUAUGCUGAGAUCUGAUAGCAAGCUGUACUUGUACAGCGAAGUGGUUGAUGCCAUGCUUCCAGGAAAAGUCUCUAAGCUUCAGUUACACAGGAAUCGUACCCGAAACCGACACAGGUGGUCAGGUCGAGUAGACCAAGGCGCUUGAGAGAACUCUGCUGAAGGAACUAGGCAAAAUGGUACCGUAACUUCGGGAGAAGGUACGCUGUUGUUGGUGAUGGAACUCGCUUCCUGAGCUGACGACAGCCGCAGAAACCAGGCCGCUGCAACUGUUUAUUAAAAACAUAGCACUCUGCAAACACGAAAGUGGACGUAUAGGGUGUGAUGCCUGCCCGGUGCUGGAAGGUUAAUUGAUGGGGUUAGCGUAAGCGAAGCUCUUGAUCGAAGCCCCAGUAAACGGCGGCCGUAACUAUAACGGUCCUAAGGUAGCGAAAUUCCUUGUCGGGUAAGUUCCGACCUGCACGAAUGGCAUAAUGAUGGCGGCGCUGUCUCCAGCAGAGGCUCAGUGAAAUCGAAAUCGCUGUGAAGAUGCAGUGUACCCGCGGCUAGACGGAAAGACCCCGUGAACCUUUACUGCAGCUUGACACUGAACUUUGACCUUACUUGUGUAGGAUAGGUGGGAGGCUUUGAAGCUGGAACGCUAGUUCCAGUGGAGCCGUCCUUGAAAUACCACCCUGGUAAUGUUGAGGUUCUAACUCUGUCCCGUGAUCCGGGACGAGGACCGUGUCUGGUGGGUAGUUUGACUGGGGCGGUCUCCUCCUAAAGAGUAACGGAGGAGUACGAAGGUGCGCUCAGCGUGGUCGGAAAUCACGCGUAGAGUAUAAAGGCAAAAGCGCGCUUAACUGCGAGACCCACAAGUCGAGCAGGUACGAAAGUAGGUCUUAGUGAUCCGGUGGUUCUGUAUGGAAGGGCCAUCGCUCAACGGAUAAAAGGUACUCUGGGGAUAACAGGCUGAUACCGCCCAAGAGUUCAUAUCGACGGCGGUGUUUGGCACCUCGAUGUCGGCUCAUCUCAUCCUGGGGCUGAAGCAGGUCCCAAGGGUAUGGCUGUUCGCCAUUUAAAGAGGUACGCGAGCUGGGUUUAGAACGUCGUGAGACAGUUCGGUCCCUAUCUACCGUGGGCGCUGGAAAUUUGAGAGGAUCUGCUCCUAGUACGAGAGGACCAGAGUGGACGAACCUCUGGUGUACCGGUUGUGACGCCAGUCGCAUCGCCGGGUAGCUAUGUUCGGAAGGGAUAACCGCUGAAAGCAUCUAAGCGGGAAGCCUACCUCAAGAUAAGAUUUCCCUAGGACUUUAUGUCCUCUAAAGAGCCGUUCGAGACUAGGACGUUGAUAGGUUGGAUGUGGAAGCAUAGUGAUAUGUGAAGCUGACCAAUACUAAUUGCUCGUGAGGCUUGACUAU